CAGGUGCUGCAUGGCUGUCGUCAGCUCGUGUUGUGAAAUGUUGGGUUAAGUCCCGCAACGAGCGCAACCCUUAUCCUUUGUUGCCAGCGGUUAGGCCGGGAACUCAAAGGAGACUGCCAGUGAUAAACUGGAGGAAGGUGGGGAUGACGUCAAGUCAUCAUGGCCCUUACGAGUAGGGCUACACACGUGCUACAAUGGCGCAUACAAAGAGAAGCGACCUCGCGAGAGCAAGCGGACCUCAUAAAGUGCGUCGUAGUCCGGAUUGGAGUCUGCAACUCGACUCCAUGAAGUCGGAAUCGCUAGUAAUCGUGGAUCAGAAUGCCACGGUGAAUACGUUCCCGGGCCUUGUACACACCGCCCGUCACACCAUGGGAGUGGGUUGCAAAAGAAGUAGGUAGCUUAACCUUCGGGAGGGCGCUUACCACUUUGUGAUUCAUGACUGGGGUGAAGUCGUAACAAGGUAACCGUAGGGGAACCUGCGGUUGGAUCACCUCCUUA
rnacentral:rRNA from 1 species